CUAGCCAAAGUCGGUCGAGUGGGAGACGAACACGAAACUCGUCGCUGAAUGUUAUUAUUUAUUAUUAACAAAAGUUACAGUUAUAAAGCAGAGGCCGUGUUCAAUCGAUCAAACGCAACGCGAGGCUGAUAAUUAAGAGCUGAUGCUAAUAUAUAAUAAUGGAGAAGUAAUAAUUUUAAUAUUACAGGAAAAUCUUGAUUGAUUGUUGAUUAAUAAACAAUAAAAUGGUUGCUUUUGGAAUCAAAUGACCACCAUUCUCAGUUAGUCCUCUGUGGAGAGUGGAAACUGCAGAGUCCAGAUGUUUCUCGUUUAGUGAUAUAGAAGAAGAUUUAGAAUUCGCGGCGCAUUUUAGCGCGGGAAUUCUAUUCUUUUCCACGUUCAGUUUCGGAAAUCUCGGUCGAAAUUCCUCUUUUUGCGCUUGUUCUGGUGAAGGCUUUUGAAGGUUAGUUGGCGCACGUUACCAAGGAAGGACGGACUUACUUCCAUCUCUCUCUGACUUGCAGAUCCUUCUUUUUGAUUUUAGCAUUACGAAACACUUAAGGUUGAACUGAAAAGGUAUGAGUUCGCGAUUCUGUUGGCAGGUUUCUUCAAAGGAUUUCAAUGAACUCGGCUCUUUGUGUACUUCAAUUUUCUGUUUUUUUUUUAUCUGAGUUCUGAAGUUGGUUAAUCGGAAUUUGCAUUUUUUGCAGUUACAUUUUUUUUUUCUUUUCUCUCAUUAUGAACGUGAGAGGAAUGGAUUUAUGUGGAGCUCUGUUUAUGGAUUUAGAAUCCCUGUUUCUGAUCCUAUUAUUAAGCUUUUCCGAAAGUGUUUUUUUUUUUUUUUCAAUUCUAUUCGCCUUAUUGUUGCUAUCUAAAUCAUUGAUCAGAAGCAAUUCUUUCAGUUUUGGCUCUUCUGUAGCGGAAAUUCGUAAUUUUGGGUAGAGAUUUCAGCCUUCCACUUCUUAUACAUUUAAACAUUUCUUAGUAAAUUAAAAUGUGUACGAAACCUGUAGAUGGUGCCGUGUUUUGUGUUCUAAAUAUGGGAGGUUUUGUUUUGUGUUCUAAACCUGUAGAUGGUUCUUCUCUGUUUGAAAAUUGCGGUAGCGUUGUUCUCUUUACAUCUGAUCUCUGAGUCUUGUUAUUUGUGUUUUAUAUUGGCAUUUGGUGAGCUAGUGUAUUAGCAUUUUAGUUUCAAAUAUAUACAAGAUUUUUUGAAUUGGUAGUUGGUUAAAUUACGAGCAUAUAGCUUGGGAACGACGUUAGUAUCGAAAUCUAAAGCCAUAAAACUGGAAUUAGGAAGAUUUAUCAAAAAAAAAAAAAGAAAAAAAACUGGAACUAGGGAUCCACGUGAAUGAGUCAUGGUUAAUUUGGUUAUGCAGUUUUAGAACGAAAGGCUGAAUCUUCGUGGGCAUGUGGGGUCGUCAAAAUAAUUCACGUGAAGUUCCCUCGCCAUACAAGAGGAUGCCGUCCAGAGAUUAUACGAAUUUGCCUUGCAGAGAAGAAAAUCCAGCUCGUUUCCAGAUUAGUGUGGGGCCAGAAACUACAACAAACCCUUCCUGGAGGCUCUCUUUGCCUCAUGUACUUGUGGCAACCAUAUCUUCAUUCUUAUUUGGCUACCAUCUUAGUGUGGUUAAUGAGCCACUUGAAAGCAUUUCCCUAGAUCUUGGUUUUGGUGGCAAUACCCUGGCUGAAGGUCUAGUUGUGAGUACGUGUUUGGGCGGUGCUUUUCUUGGAUGUCUACUCAGUGGUUGGAUUGCUGAUGGGGUUGGGCGGCGCAGGGCCUUCCAGUUGAGUGCUUUACCAAUGAUUAUUGGGGCUUCUCUGAGUGCAACAACAAAAAAUCUGGAGGGAAUGCUUUUUGGGAGGUUUUUGGUUGGAACUGGGAUGGGUCUGGGUCCAGCUGUUGCAGCUCUUUAUGUGACAGAGGUUUCACCUUCUUUUGUAAGGGGUACUUAUGGAAGUUUCAUUCAGAUUGCAACAUGUCUUGGACUGAUGGGGGCAUUAUUCAUGGGAAUCCCUGCAAGGGAAAUUAAGGGCUGGUGGCGUGUUUGUUUCUGGGUAUCUGAUGUUCCUGCUGUGAUGCUUGCUUCCUUUAUGGUCUUCUGUGCAGAGAGUCCCCAUUGGCUUUAUAAGCAAGGAAGAUAUGUUGAAGCUGAGGCUGAGUUUGAGAAGCUCUUGGGAGCAUCACAUGUCAAGUCUGCACUGGCUGAACUAGGAAAGUUAAACAGAGGGGAUGAAGCAGAAACUGUAAAGUUUUCAGAGUUACUCUAUGGUCGCCAUUUUAGAGUUGUUUUUAUUGGGUCAACCCUUUUUGCUUUACAACAGCUGUCUGGUAUUAAUGCUAUAUUCUAUUUCUCAUCAACUGUCUUUAAAAGUGCGGGGGUACCUUCAAACCUGGCUAACAUUUGUGUGGGACUAGCAAAUUUUUCAGGGUCUAUUAUUGCAAUGAUUUUGAUGGAUAAGCUGGGGAGGAAAGUGCUUCUAGUGGGGAGCUUCUUAGGAAUGGCAGUAGCGAUGGGAAUCCAGGUCAUUGCUGCAGGCUUUCACAUAUUGGGCUCUGGAGCUUUGUAUCUAUCUGUUGGUGGAAUGUUACUGUUUGUCUUCACAUUUGCAAUGGGAGCUGGUCCAGUCCCAGGUCUCCUUCUACCAGAAAUCUUCCCCAGCCGCAUUAGAGCAAAGGCUAUGGCUGUAUGUAUGUCUGUACAUUGGGUGGUAAAUUUUUUUGUAGGAUUGUUAUUCCUGCGUUUACUGGAACAAUUUGGACCACAGGUCUUGUACACCAUGUUUUCUACUUUCUGCUUGAUAGCAGUGGUUUUUGUGAAGAGAAAUGUGGUGGAAACCAAAGGAAAAUCACUCCAAGAACUUGAGAUAGCACUUCUUCCACCAGAGUAGAGGGAAAUUAUGGCCAUUUAAUAUGAUUCUUUCAGAGAGGUUUUUGUCUGGUUUCUUUGCAGUGUUGUUCCUUUUUUUAUCGAUUUUGUCCCUCUCGUGGAGUUACAUUUGGAGACUUCGGCAGGGCCAUUCAUCUGGUCUUCACCUGACUAGGCUGGUGUAAAUUCAGAGAGAGCUUCUGUUUGAAUAUGCUCUUUUUGACAGAUUUUGGGAAGGAGAAUGGUUUGACAAUAUGUGAGCGUAGCUGACACUGAUUUUCUUUGAGCUUGAGAUUGAUAGCCCACAUCAUUGAAUCUGCGUUCUGACAUAUUUUGGGAGGAGAUGGUUUGACGUUGUGUAUGUUAGUGUAGCUGACAUUCAUUUUAUCACGGGUUGCCUACUUACCUCUAAUUGACAGAGUAGAAGCAUUCUGAACUCUGAUCCAUGCUUUCAGUAUUUUCUAUUUUCCGUUAAGAACAAGUUCCGCAGAUACUUAACUGUUACUGCUUGGAGCACUUUGCAAUGUUUUGGUGUAGCCUUAAGGUUGAAGAAGAAGAAAUGCCUGGAAAUUGAAGCAGGAUUUGGUCUGAGACGUUUCUCUUAUUUCUCUGUUCCUGGGAAACAGUCGAACAGAAACAAAUUCUGCUCCAGAAAGAUAGCUCUGACGUCUAGCUGAUCGGUGAUGCUUCUCCAUACGAAAAAUAACAUCGUGAUAUAUAUAUUUUUUCAACUUUACUAGACAUGCCUUUACGCAGAUGGAAGAUCUAUAUCGGAUAGGAAGUGUAACUAUGCAGACAACGUUUUCAGCUUUCAUAUACACCGUUUCUGCACUCGACGGAAUCAGUAUUCAAAACAAGUAUAUACCUGGA